rnacentral:miRNA from 1 species
UCUGAUCCCUACCUGGCCCUCACCUGGAACUGGUGACGCUGGUCCCCACCUGGGCCUCACCCGGACCUGGUGACUGUGGUCCCCACCUGGGCCUCA